rnacentral:lncRNA from 1 species
UGUGGUUGCAACAAAAAGUGAUCUUCCCUCCAUCAGCAUCAUGCAUAGCAAUUAGCUGUAUUUUGAACUUCGUUCAACAACGUGGUCAAAUUCUUGUUUGUGUUUUAGUGAUAUUGUUAAUGAAAGGGCUUUAUAAGUGAUGACUUCUGUAUUUGUCCCUACAGUGCUUCAAUUGCUGCUGUUAGGCUCAAUGCAUGAUAGCAGUCUAUCUUAUGACAGCAGUCAACAUCUAAAAUGUAGACUGUUUUAAUCUUAUGUGCUGUUCUAGAAACUACUGCUGUAAUACUGAGAGUACAAACUGAGGUGUUUGCAUCCUAUAAUUGUAAGAGCGUAAGGCUUGUAGUCAUAUAGUGUAAAUUGUAUCUUCCUUGUGAAUAUAACACUAUUUUUUCAGUCUCUUAUCUAGGCCAAACCCUGCUGUGAAUGUACUGAAUGCCUUUCAGAUGAGGCUGACCUCUUCCACCACAGGAUCAAAUUGGCCUGACAGGUAGAGGAUUUGGGGGGUGGGGGGGGCAAAAAGCCUCACCCGAGAGCUGUAGAAAGCAGAGUCCAACUCAACACAUUUCAGGCAGCGAAGACCAUGGCUGCAAGACAAGUAACAAGAACGAAGGCAAUGUAACCAGAACCUCUAUCAAGCACUCAGUUCAAUCCUCAAAGGCCUAUAAAUAUUAUACAAGGAUGAACAAUUACAGCUGGACAGGAGGAGAAGCACGGCCAGUGUGAACAGCGUAUCGAAGUUCCGAUCCUGUAAUAUCCAGAUGCUUCUCUUUCAUCAGUGUUGGGGCUGCUGAUGCCUUACAGUGGCCCUGACUGAUCUUCUGGUCUUGAGGGGACAUCCCAAAACACAGUUUCUUUUCUGUUCCCACAUUUGGGCUGGUAAGUCAAGUGCUUGCUA